rnacentral:rRNA from 1 species
UACAGAGGAGCCAAGCGUUGUCCGGAUUGACUGGGCGUAAAGCGCACGCAGGCGGCUGCGCGCGUGGGGUGUGAAAUCUGGCCGCUUAACGGCCAGGCGCCAUCCCAUACGGCGCGUCUGGAGUGAUGCAGAGGUCGAUGGAAUUGCCGGUGUAGUGGUGAAAUGCGUAGAGAUCGGCAGGAACACCCAGGGGGAAACCAGUCGACUGGGCAUCUACUGACGCUGAGGUGCGAGAGCGUGGGGAGCGAACCGG